UGCUUCGGCAUAUUUCAGAAUAUUUUUCUCCCGACACUUGAAGAAAACACAACUACAAACUGUGCAGGCCGCAUGUCUGAGUUCUGUGCCAGGAUGGAGAAGGAAAAUCAAAACUACAGUUGAAGGCCGACAUGCUGGUUAAGCUGGCCACUUGCAUUUUAGACCUAUGGCUUGCCUUGGCUGUUUCAACUACUCUGUAUGCGAUUUUUUUAAUGGUGGCCAGCUUCUUCAUUUUCUUAUUUUCUAUUUCCAUUUUUUCACUGGAGAGCAAAAGAAUACUGAAUUCCAGCAAGAGAAGAAUCUAGAUUCUAAGGUCCAGCAACACAAGUGGGAAGAAAUUUCAGAGAAAUUUGUCACAGGAUGCUUUUUAUCUUUUUUGUCAACAGAAAUCAGUUCUGACAAAGGAAUAUUCACUAUCUGGAAAGAAAAAAAGAAUUCAUUUCAUCCAACGAGGACUUUCUCAGGACUUUGAGAAAUUUAAUCAAAAAUAACAUGGAUCUAAAAAGAUGAUCUUCAGAAUCUCCCUAAGACAAUUCAGAUGCAAGUGUUUCAGUUUCCUGGAAUGACACUGGUUGACUGUUAAGGUUUCAGAGGUAUAAAAAGAUGAAGUCAGCACAAUAGCUGUUGACCAUUAGUUUGGUCUUAUUUUCAAUAUUUUCUUUGGAACCUUCCCUACACCGAACUAGUUCUGGCAUAAUUAACCUCAUCAUCUGUGUGUACAUCCCUGGGAAGUAUACUGCUAAGAGUCAUCAAAGUCCAAUGAAAAAUCAAAAUCAAGGCAACUGACCAUGGUUUGGGAAACAGCUGGUGACCUUGGAAUCUUUGCUGU